UUACGGUCAAAUCACGCUGAAAACACCGGUUCUCGUUCGAUCAGCGAAGUUAAGCAUCGUAGAGCCAGGUCAGUACUUAGAUGGGGGACCGCUUGGGAACACCUGGUACUGUAAG